rnacentral:rRNA from 1 species
CCCUUAGAUGUUCUGGGCGGCCCGCGCACUACAAUGGCGCUUUCAGCGAGUUCCUAUGUUGAAUUUUCCUUGGUAUUCUUGGAAGCGGCGUCUUGACUUGGGAUAGAUCCUUGUAAUUGUUGGUUUUGAACGAGGAAUUCCUUGUAAUCGCGGUUGAUCAGCUCGCGUUGAAUACGUCCCUGCCCUUUGUACACACCGCCCGUCGCUCCUACCGAUGAAUCGUCCGGUGAAGUUCACAGAGUGGCGGUUCGUGGAGUUGCUCGCGAAGUGAAAUGGACCUCACGAUUUAGAGGAAGUAAAAGUCGUAACA